rnacentral:rRNA from 1 species
GCGGAGGGAUCAUUACCGAGUUUACAACUCCCAAACCCCUGUGAACAUACCUUAAUGUUGCCUCGGCGGAUCAGCCCGCGCCCCGUAAAACGGGACGGCCCGCCAGAGGACCCAAACUCUAAUGUUUCUUAUUGUAACUUCUGAGUAAAACAAACAAAUAAAUCAAAACUUUCAACAACGGAUCUCUUGGUUCUGGCAUCGAUGAAGAACGCAGCAAAAUGCGAUAAGUAAUGUGAAUUGCAGAAUUCAGUGAAUCAUCGAAUCUUUGAACGCACAUUGCGCCCGCUGGUAUUCCGGCGGGCAUGCCUGUUCGAGCGUCAUUUCAACCCUCAAGCCCUCGGGUUUGGUGUUGGGGAUCGGCUCUGCCUUCUGGCGGUGCCGCCCCCGAAAUACAUUGGCGGUCUCGCUGCAGCCUCCAUUGCGUAGUAGCUAACACCUCGCAACUGGAACGCGGCGCGGCCAUGCCGUAAAACCCCAACUUCUGAAUGUUGACCUCGGAUCAGGUAGGAAUACCCGCUGAACUUAAGCAUAUCAAUAAGCGGAGGA